AAUGAACGUUGGCGGCGUGGAUUAGGCAUGCAAGUCGUACGCUUUAUGUAGCAAUACAUGAAGAGUGGCGAAAGGGAGAGUAAUGCAUGGUUAGCUACCCUCGGGACUGGGAUAGCGGCGGGAAACUGCCGGUAAUACCAGAUGACGUCUUCGGACCAAACGUGUAAACCGGCCCGAGGAGGCGACCAUGUCCUAUCAGCUAGUUGGCGGUGUAAUGGACCACCAAGGCUAAGACGGGUAUGGGGCGUGCGAGCGUGCCCCCACUCACUGGGACUGAGACACUGCCCAGACACCUACGGGUGGCUGCAGUCGAGAAUCUUCGGCAAUGGGCGCAAGCCUGACCGAGCGACGCCGCGUGCGGGAUGAAGGCCUUCGGGUUGUAAACCGCUGUCGUAGGGGAGGAAGGUCUGGUGUAGAGCCAGGCUUGACCGAUCCUAGGAGGAAGGGCCGGCUAAUCUCGUGCCAGCCGCCGCCGUAAAAC
rnacentral:rRNA from 1 species